rnacentral:rRNA from 1 species
GACGUAGGGCGCGAGCGUUGUCCGGAUUUAUUGGGCGUAAAGAGCUCGUAGGCGGCUUGUUGCGUCGGCUGUGAAAUCCCGUGGCUUAACUGCGGGCUUGCAGCUGAUACGGGCGGGCUGGAGUUCGGUAGGGGAGACUGGAAUUCCUGGUGUAGCGGUGAAAUGCGCAGAUAUCAGGAGGAACACCGGUGGCGAAGGCGGUUCUCUGGGACGGUACUGACGCUGAGACGCGAAAGCGUGGGGAGCGAACAGG